AGUUUUAUUAUUAACAAAUCAAAAAGAAAAAGCUAUCAUUUUUCUCUUCUCCUUCACCGAAAUAUGUAGCAAAGAAAGGGUUUUGAAGCUGGAAAAUUUCAGCAACAUAUUUCCCUUUCUUGUAAGUGAUUUUAAUGUCUUUGCUUGAUGAUUUCUAUAUUUUUGGAACCCCUAAAGCAUGAGCUUUCAUAAGAGGGGACUAUUUUGCAAAAUUAUGAAGAGUCUAGGGUUUUGCCAUGAGAGUAAAUGUGUUGUUUGCUGUGUUUUUAUGGAAGAUUAUGAGUCCUAGUUGUCUAAUAAACAACUUUUGUGAAAGAAAUUGCAUGAAAACACCUUAAAAAAUGGCUAGAUUGCUAAGUUGUAAAAUGAGUUGUAAUGUGUAAAAUAGUUGAAAUUAUGAGUUUCUAUAGUUAUGAAAAUGGUUCAUCUAGACUCAAGGAGUAAAGAAAUGUGAUAAAAAUUAUUUUACGAGCAUUGGGGCAAAAGUGAAAAUAUGCAAAAGUUUAGGGGUCAAAAUGAAAAUUUGUAAAAAUAUGAUUUUUAGACCCAUAUGAAUAUUUUGACUGAUUGGUAGGCUAAAUGUGAUAUUAUAAAUCAAGGAAAUCGAGAUUUGGACCUAGAACGGAAAGAAAUCGAUUAAGGGAUGAUUAUGUCCUUUUCACCUUUGUGGUAUCGAGGUAAGUUUGUAUGUAAACAAUACCAUGCUAUACAUGUAUUUAAAUGUUAUCAUUACAUGAAUUGUACAGAUAUUAAGUGUAUGUGAUUAAUAGAAAUAUGAUAAGACAAAGCCUUAAUAGACGAGGAAAAAUCUCGUUUGAACCUUAGGAAUAGAAUAGGAUACGAGUGACAUGUCACUAGGAAUUAUGAGUCUAGAUGACUAGCUCGAGAGUGAGCAUUGAAAUGUCAUGAGAUAUGAGGUAGCUUUAGCUACAAUUGAGGCACUUAUGUGCAAAGGCUUUUCCGAGUAUCCAAUUAGUAUUCCAAGUGUUCAACGGGUAAUCCAAGGAAAGAGUUGAUGAUGGUCCCAAUGAGGUAAGUCAUUGGUGAGUAUACACUUGAGUUAUGUUACGAGUUGUGCAAGUAUGUAUAUUAAGCCUAUGAAAAUGCCUUGAUAUGUGAUGAUCUAUGAUGCAUAAUAUGUGUUCUUACCAUGAUGGAUGAAAUGAUGUUGUAUUAAUUUUGUGAACAAUGAUCAUAAAUGAGUAACUUAGCCUUGACAGAUUUGAGUUACUGCAGUAGUGUAACUUUGAAAAUACACUAAAAAUAGUGGAAAAUUAGUUAGAGGCAGAAUAAAAUAUGAGAUUAAAGCUUAAUGAGUCUAUUUUCACAUGAAAGAAACAGGGGAAGAAAAAGAAUUCUAUAUUGUGUGAUAUUUGAAUUCUUGUAAAACAAGGUCUGAAUGAAUUCGAGAUCCCCUAUUCUAACUUUAAAAAUUCAUCAUAAAUUGUAAUAAAAUUAUUAAGAGUCAUACCUUACAUGCAUGGAUUCUUUACUGAGUCUAUUUUUAAGGGAAACAAACGGCAUGGUCAUUGGAAUUCUGUACAGGGAGAAAUUCGAUUCGUAGUGCACAAGGGUCAGAGUGGUCAUACCCUGAAACAAGGGAGAUUUUAACUAAUAAACUGUACUAAAUGGCUUGACCAAAAAUUCUAGAAAAAAAUUAGUAAGUAUAAAUAUGAGUAUAGUUUCAAGAUAAAUAGACAAGAACAUUAUUCGAAUCCUGUACUAUGAGAUAAUUGAACUUUAGUGCAAAAGGGUUGAAACUGUCAGAUAGUGAAUCAGGAGCAAACUUGAGGAAUAAACUGUACUAAUUGGCUAAGUCAAAAAUUCUGGAAAUUUUAUGAAAGAAAGAUAAAUGAGUCUAGUUUCAGGGAAAAUUAACGGAACUUAAUUUGGAGUUUCGUAACUCCAGAUAUAAAUAAUUUAGUGACUAUUGCUCAGGAAGACAGCUUGCAGUGAACUUGAGAAUAUGUUGUAAACAUUGAUAAAACAAGUUAAUGAGUUGCUUAUUGUUUUCAUAUGAAUUUACUAAGCGAAAGCUUACCCCCCCUUCUUUCCCAUGUUUUCUAGAGUUUCCAGGUUAGCUCGGGUUGGAGGCCGUCAGAGAUAUUAUCAUACUGUCGAGUUAACGCUAUCGACGUAAGUAAACUCAAGUGAUUCUAGUCUAUGGCAUGUAUAGGGUUUUAAUGUGAGUAUGUAAUAUUAUGAUUUAGCCAAAGGCAUUGGCUUGUUAUUAAGGUAGUAUUAGUCAUUUAAAUUGGCCUAUGUCGGCUAAUAUCGUUAUGGGCCCAUAUGAUUAUUCUUAUGCAUGUAUGUUAUUAUCUCUUGUGAUGUGGCUUACAACAUGUAUGCCUAGAGAUUGAAUUGAGAUUCAUUGAUGAGCUAAUAACUAAUGCAGGAUUAAGUGAUUGGUAAAUAGUUAAUAAUGCUUCAUGAAUGGUUUGUGGAUAUGAUUAUGCAUGCUUUGUGAUGGACAUGAGGUUUGAUGACAUGUUGAUAGCUAUAGCAUUAAUAUGGUAAAGAUGAAAGAAAAACUUAUUGUAAUGGUUGCAUGUGAAAUUGCCAUGGUCAUGUCAUGUUAGGAAGGUUUAAGUGCCUAAUUUUGCCAUGUUGUAUGCUAUUGUAUAAGUAUGCGUGCAUGUGUUGUGAGUGUGACAAAAUGGCUUGGAAAAUAGUCUUGUAUUUGUCCAGGUUUUGGACAUGGGUUCGGGACACGGGCGUGUUCAUAGCACCCGGGCAUGUGUUCUAUACCUACACGGGCGUGUGGAGCCUUGAUACAAGAGAUUUCCUAAGUUUUUCAUGAGUUCUCGGUUGGGUCCCGAACCACCCCGAAUGCAUGUAUUGGGCCUCGCAAGCUCGCAUAAAGGACAGAUUGCAUGAGAAAAGAAAAGUUUUUAAUUAUUUGAGAUUUCAUGGCCCUGUUUAGUAUGGAAGUGUUAGUAAAAGUCAGGUAGCACCUCGAACCCCGUCCAGGUGUCGGAUGCGGGCGAGGGGUGUUACACUAUAUAAUUUUGUAGGUCAAAAUGUAUAGGAAAUUAUCUCUCAUUAGUAAAAAUUUUAAAUUAUUUAAACGAGAUCAAUAAAAUAUAUGUCUUAAAAUUAAAAUACUAUUAUCAUUGUACAAAAAUAACUCUUAAAACUUAAGCCAUGUACCAGCAUGUUUAGAAAACUAUAUGGUAACUAGAUUUGAGUGUAAUUAUUUAAUUACUCUUGUAAUUACUUUAAUUUCU
rnacentral:lncRNA from 1 species